rnacentral:rRNA from 1 species
UCCGGUGGCUAUGACGAAGAGGUUCCACCUGUUCCCAUACCGAACACAGAAGUUAAGCUCUUCAGUGCCGAUGGUACUUGACUGGCAACGGUCCGGGAGAGUAGGUCGCCGCCGGAU